GCAUGGUUUCAUGUAUAUUUAUGUUUGAAGUUAUACCUUUAAUUAAAAGGUAUUUUUUAUUGAGUAUUCACCAACUUGCUUUAUGUACUUUUCUGGUUGAAGAUAUCUUCACUUUACAAUCAUUUAAGAUUAUUACAUGUUCUAAUUAUUAAACUUGGUUAAGUCAGGUUCUUCUAUUUGGUUGUAUUUGUGUAAUAUACUCCAUUAGCAGAGUUAUUAACACUCAUCCAUGGUGGUUUUCAUUGGAACAGUAAGAGUAUUGGGAGAGUUUAUUUUCUAAAUUUGGUAUUUGACUUUGACAUCUAUAACUUUGCAAAUAUUUGUGUCCAAGACUAUAGUUGAUUUAUAUUGUAGUUUUGAAUUUGGUUUAUUGAUGUUGAUGGUUGAAGCAAUUUCAAACGAGUAAUGGAUUAAUGUUCCCUUUUUAUUCUUUUUACGACUCAAGGUUGCUUCUUUA
rnacentral:lncRNA from 1 species